UUUCCCCUCCGGCCUCUGCCGGUGCUGCUGCGCCCUGCGGAGCUCCGAACACGUGCGCGUGAGGAGUCCCAUAGAGCCUGACUCCGAGAGCCUCGAUCUCCCAGGGCCAGAGGCAGGGACUUUGGAAGAGAGGCUGGCUGUGGCAGAUGCAACUGCAGGAUGACUUGAAAGUAGGGCAUCCUUCACCCAUCUGAAGGGAGGAAAUAGUGGCAGGUGACAGUCUGCAUGUGCAGUUUUCAGAUGCCUUCACCUGAAUGACAUCUACCUCCAUCAGGACCCCAGAUGUCUGACAGCCCUGUGUGACACCAAGAUAAGUAACAAUCUGGCUGCUGACUACCCUAUUGGACAACUCCAAUAUUAGAGAACAUUUCCACCAAUUCAGAAAGUUUAUUAUGCACUGCUGUUCUAGAGCAGGGAUCAGCAAACUUGCUGUAAAGAGCCAGG
rnacentral:lncRNA from 1 species